GCAUACCAACUCACAUCACCUUGGUGCUGGGUUCAGCAAUAUGUCACAAUGCUUUCUGAGAGCAAGGCCAAAGCAAAAGGGCAACAUCACCUUGCUGUUGGGCCCAGUGAUAUGUCACAAUGUUCCUUGUGGGCAAAACCUAGAAAGAGUCACAUCAGCUAGGUGCUGGGCCUAGCAAUCUGUUUUGAUACACCCUGUAAGGAGAAACCAGGCAGAAACUGUCUUAUUAACUGUGUGAUGAGCAGAAAGAUAUGUCACAAUGCUCUCUGUAAGCAGGGCCUAGGCAAGAGAAUUAUAUCACCUGGGUGUGGACCCAGCAAUAUGUCACAACAGCCCGUGUGGGCAAGGCACUGGCAGGAGAGCCACAUAACCUGGGUGUUGGGUGCAGCAAUAUGUCACAGGGUUCCCAGUGGGCAGUGCCAAGGCAGGAGAAUAGAUUUACAUUAGUUAGGUCCUGGGUUCAGCAAUGUUUCACAAUCCAAUCUGUGGGCUGAGCCCAGGCAGAAGAAUUCAAUCACUCAGGUGCUGGGCAGAGGCAUAUGUCACAAUCACAGCUGCAGGAAUGUUCAUAAAUGAGAUUAACAAUCCUGCACAUGUCCAGGUUCCAGGUAUGAGAAUCAACACCUCUUUUAUGUUGGGCCUAAGUACAUGAUUCACAAUCUCAACAGUGGACUAGAUCCAUGGACGAGAGCCUCAAUUCCUCUCACAGACUGUUUUCUUAGUGGAGUCACAGUCUUUCAGGUGUACUGAAUCUUGGUCUGAGUGUCAAUAACCCACCUGUGGACUGAAAUAAACGAUGAGACAAUUGUUCAACUUUUGGCACUUUUUUUUUAUUGUGGGGUUCAGAAUCUCAACAAUGUGUUGUGUUCAUGUGGGAGGGUGACAAUCAUUACUGUUGGCUGGGUGUGCUUAUGAGUGUCACAAUCUCACCUGUGUCCUGAGGUCUAUUAGAACAUUCUCUGUCCUACUUGAGGGCUUUGUACUGUAUGCAUGGGAGUGCAAUCUUGUCUGAGACCUUCAUGCUGGUAUGGACCCAUGAUUGUACUUGUGGCCCUAAGCCCAGGUAUGAGAGUCAACAUGUCUCCAAUUGGCUGAGUCCAGAAAGAAGAUGCCUUACCUGCCUAGGAGCUGGGUUUAGAAAUGUUUCACCAUUUCAACUCUGGCUGAAUGUUCACAUAUGACAGUCACAAUUUCAACUAUGGACUGUGUUUGUGAGAUUAAGAACCUCAUUAGUGAGUUCCAUCCAUGUGGGAGGUUGACAAUACUAAGGGUUUUUAGGGUGAGCAUAUGAGAAACACAACCUUACCUGUGUGCUAGGCUCUGUAAUGACACUUUCUGUACCAUUCAAGACCUUUACACAAUAUGCAAGAGAAUGGCAUUUACAAUCUUUAUAAAGCGGAGGCCCAUGAACUCACCUAUUUGCCUAAGCCUUGCUAAGAGACACAGGAUCUCUGCUAUUGGCUGGUUCAAGGUAUGAGACUUAUGCCAUCUGUGAGCUAGGCCAAGAUAAAUGUGACAAUUACACCCGUGGAUAGGGAAUGAUAAGUAGAGUCACGUCACCUGUUUUUUGGAGCCAGGAAUAUGUCAAAAUCUUCCUGGAGGCCAGGGACUAGGCAGGAGAGUCACAUUACCUAGGUACUGGCCCAGCAAUACACCACAAUUUUUUUUUUUUUUUUUUUUGCCAGAGCCUAAGCAGUAGAGGAGAGUCACAUCACCUAGUUUCUAGGUCCAGCAAUAUGUUACCGGACAUGGCCCAGGCAAAAAAGUAAAAUUAUUUAUGUGAAAGACCCAGAGAUAUGCUACAUUGUCAUCUGUGUGUAGGGCUAAGAGAGAAGAAAAGUGUUACAUAACCUAGGUCCUGCUCAUGCCACCUGUUUCACAAUCACCCCAAAUGACAGGGCCCAGUCAUGACAGUCACAUCACAUAGGUUCUGGACCAAGUGAUAUGUCACAAUAUUCUCUCUGUACAGUUUACAGGAAGAAGACAGUCACGUAAUCUAGCUGAUGGGCUUAGAGAUAUGUCAAAAUAACCCCUGUGGGCAGGGACCAGACAGGAUUACCUCACCUGUGUGCUGGGUUUGGCAAUAAGCCAUCUUUCUUCUGUGGGCAUGACCCUGUCAGAAGAGAGUCACAUCACCUAG
rnacentral:lncRNA from 10 species